UGGGGUUUCUCCAUGCUGGUCAGGCUGGUCUCGAACUCCCGAACUCACGUGAUCCGCCCACCUCAGCCUCUCAAAGUGCUGGGAUUACAGGAAUGAGCCACCACGCCCAGCCUAGCCGUUCUUAAAAAUAGUGGAUGUCACAAAUUUUCUAUCAUAUAUGAAAUACUAAUUUAUAAUUAUUCAGGAUAGUGAGGGAGAUUAUGCUUUGGGUAUCUCAGAAAAAAAAUAAAAUAUGCAUUAUGUAAACAAAUGUAUAACAUAUUUAACAUAUGUAUAAUGAAUCUUGGAAUGAUUGAACAUAGCAGGAAACACUGUAAUUUCUGUAUAACUAAAAAUCUCACUAGCAAAGACACAAAAUACUUUUAUUGUUCUCAUAAUAAAAUGUAUGAAAUCAACUCUAUGUAGUUUUAAGACUAUGAACAAUUUGAGAAUUAGUUACAAAUCUUAUUAAAGAGUGACAGCAGCAAGAUGGCAGAAUAGAAUCCCCCAGAAUCACUCUCCAAGCAAAUUACAAAUGGAAACUAUUUUCAAAGAAAAGAAUAACACUAACAUUCUGAGUUCACCAGAACUCUAAGGAGAAGCAGAGAAAUCCACUGGGCCCACAGAAACUGGAAAAAUCACCACCAGUAAGAGAAACAAUCAUUUAGACUACAUGACCCCCAAACCCAGCUGCAACAGCACUAAUCAGAGAGAACUUCCAUAAACCCAGAGUCUCCUAGGUGAGACAAAGGAAUUGGAAGUGGAUCUUAGAGCUCUCCCCCAGUCUGGGAAUCUUCGUGGGAAGUCCACUCUGGGCCUGUCCCACAGGAAUCACUGGGAGUGCCAGAAGAGCUGAAUCACCUGGGGUGAAUGGGGGACAAAGAGCAGGGCACCGAUUGCAGCAACUGGUGUGUGGAUCUUAGUAGCUUCUCUGCAUUUCAGUCAGCAGGGACAUCGCAUCGAAGAGAUAAUGCUGCAGGGGGCACAAUGAAAGCGGCGUUCAGAAAGGCCCGCAUCCCUGGCUAGAUUUUCCACAGAGCCCAAAUGCAUGCAUGGAGCCUGCUCCUUGCCUGGAAACAAUUAAAAGAUCAGAUCGGUGUUAAGUUCUAUAUGCUUAUCAAAAUAUCACAUGUACCUUGUAAAUAGGUACAAUUAUUAUGCCUGGAUUUUUAAAAAUUGAAACAAGAAACAAAAACAAAACUUAUGAAUUGUGUCUCAGUCCUUAGAGGACUAAAUGCUUUUGUUAGCUAUCAGGCACACAAGUGUGUUAACCGUAAUUAUCUUAGUUUAGAUGACAGUAGUCAAACCUUACAGAAAGCCCUUUUCUUAUAAUCAUUCUGGUUUUGUUUUGUUUUGAGACAGAGUCUCUUGCUCUGUCGCUAGGCACGAUCUCGGCUCACUGCAACCUCCGACUCCCCGGUUCAAGCGAUUUUCCUGCCUCAGCCUCUCCAGUAGCU
rnacentral:lncRNA from 10 species